AUGGAUGUGAUGAUUAUUUCCCCAGAUGAUCGAAUAUGAAAUAACUGAGCGCAUUAUUUAUGUUUCUCCUUUUGGAGAAACUCAAGCCAGAAAUCUGAUCCAU
rfam:Helianthus annuus linkage group 8, whole genome shotgun sequence.